GAUGAACGCUGGCGGCGUGCCUAACACAUGCAAGUCGAACGAAGCACCUUACCUGAUUCUUCGGAUGAAAGUUUGGUGACUGAGUGGCGGACGGGUGAGUAACGCGUGGGUAACCUGCCCUGUACAGGGGGAUAACAGCUGGAAACGGCUGCUAAUACCGCAUACGCGCACGAGGAGACAUCUCCUUGUGUGAAAAACUCCGGUGGUGCAGGAUGGGCCCGCGUCUGAUUAGCUGGUUGGCAGGGUAACGGCCUACCAAGGCAACGAUCAGUAGCCGGUCUGAGAGGAUGAACGGCCACAUUGGAACUGAGACACGGUCCAAACUCCUACGGGAGGCAGCAGUGGGGAAUAUUGCACAAUGGGGGAAACCCUGAUGCAGCAACGCCGCGUGAGUGAAGAAGUAUUUCGGUAUGUAAAGCUCUAUCAGCAGGGAAGAUAAUGACGGUACCUGACGAAGAAGCUCCGGCUAAAUACGUG
rnacentral:rRNA from 1 species